AGGACGAACGCUGGCGGCGUGCCUAACACAUGCAAGUCGAGCGGAGACAUACGACGGAUAGGAAGUUUCGGACGGAAUUGAAGAUGUAUGUUUAGCGGCGGACGGGUGAGUAACGCGUGAGCAACCUGUCCUUCACAGGGGAUAACACAGCGAAAGUUGUACUAAUACCGCAUAAGACCACAGUAUCACAUGGUACAGGGGUCAAAGGAGGAAUCCGGUGAAGGGUGGGCUCGCGUCCGAUUAGAUAGUUGGUGAGGUAACGGCCCACCAAGUCGACGAUCGGUAGCCGACCUGAGAGGGUGAUCGGCCACAUUGGGACUGAGACACGGCCCAAACUCCUACGGGAGGCAGCAGUGGGGAAUAUUGGGCAAAUGGGGGAAACCCUGACCCAGCAACGCCGCGUGAGGGAAGAAGGUUUUCGGAUCGUAAACCUCUGUCCUUGGUGAAGAGGAAGAGACGGUAGCCAAGGAGGAAGCCCCGGCUAACUACGUGCCAGCCGCGGC
rnacentral:rRNA from 1 species